CGCCCACGGUCCGGGCACAAUC
rnacentral:miRNA from 1 species